rnacentral:tRNA from 1 species
GGGUGAUUAGCUCAGUGGUAGAGCACUGCCUUCACACGGCAGGGGUCACAUGUUCGAAACAUGUAUUACCCACCA